rnacentral:rRNA from 1 species
GACGAACGCUGGCGGCGUGCCUAAUACAUGCAAGUCGAGCGAGCUGAAUUCAAAGAUUCCUUCGGGAUGAUUUGUUGGACGCUAGCGGCGGAUGGGUGAGUAACACGUGGGCAAUCUGCCCUAAGACUGGGAGUACCACUUGGAACAGGUGCUAAUACCGGAUAACAACAUGGAUCGCAUGAUUCAAGUUUGUAAAGGACGGCGUAAGCUGUCACUUUAGGAUGAGCCCGCGGCGCAUUAGCUAGUUGGUGGGGUAAAGGGCCGUACCAACGGCGAUGAUGCGUAGCCGAGUUGAGAGACUGAUCGGCCACAUUGGGACUGAGACACGGCCC